GAUGAAGAACGCAGCGAAAUUCGAUACGUAAUGUGAAUUGCAGAAUUCAGUGAAUCAUCGAGUCUUUGAACGCACAUUGCGCCCCCUGGUAUUCCGGGGGGCAUGCCUGUCCGAGCGUCAUUGCUGCCCUCAAGCACGGCUUGUGUGUUGGGCCUCCGUCCUCCUCCCGGGGGACGGGCCCGAAAGGCAGCGGCGGCACCGCGUCCGGUCCUCGAGCGUAUGGGGCUUCGUCACCCGCUCUUGUAGGCCCGGCCGGCGCUUGCCGACACAUCAAUCUUUUUUCCAGGUUGACCUCGGAUCAGGUAGGGAUACCCGCUGAACUUAAGCAUAUCAAUAAGCGGAGGA
rnacentral:misc_RNA from 1 species